GGGCAGGGGAGGGAGAGGGGAAUGACAAGGGGCAGGGGAGGGAGAGGGGAAUGACAGGGGGCAGGAGAGGCACAGGGGAAUGACAGGGGGCAGGGGAGGGAGAGGGAAUGACAGGUGGCAGGGGAGGGACAGGGAAUGACAGGGGCAGGGGAGGGAGAGGGGAAUGACAGGUGGGCAGGGGAGGGAGAGGGGAAUGACAGAUGGGCAGGGGAGGGAGAGGGGAAUGAUAGGGGGCAGGGGAGGGAGAGGGGAAUGACAGGUGGGCAGGGGAGGGAGAGGGGAAUGACAGGGGGCAGGGGAGGAAGAGGGGAAUGACAGGGGGCAGGGGGGGCAGGGGGAGGGAGAAGGGAAUGACAGGUGGGCAGGAGAGGGAGAGGGGAAUGACAGGUGGGCAGGGGAGGGAGAGGUGAAUGACAGGUGGGCAGGAGAGGGAGAGGGGAAUGACAGGGGGGCAGGGGAGGGAGAGGGGAAUGACAGGUGGGCAGGAGAGGGAGAGGGGAAUGACAGGGGGCAGGGGAGGGAGAGGGGAAUGACAGGUGGGCAGGAGAGGGAGAGGGGAAUGACAUGGGGUAAGGGAGGGAGAGGGGAAUGACAGGGGCCAGGGGAGGGAGAGGGGAAUGACAGGUGGGCAGGGGAGAGAGAGAGGGGAAUGACAGGGGGCAGGGGAGGGAGAGGGGGAUGACAGUGGGCAGGAGAGGAUGGGAAACAGCCUGGGGAUGCUGAAAGGACUGCACAGAGGCACCAGCAUCAUUUAUGCAGAGUUUGGCUGAGGGGUGGAGGGUGUCUAGGACCCCCUCAAUAGCCCUUGAGGGUGGCUGAGACUGAGGGUGUAUCCAUGGUGCGAAAGAGGGUGUAUUUUUGGAGGGGAGGAGGAGGAUGGAGAAGGAGGAGGAGGGGGGUGGGGUGGCUGGGCACUGUGCUCAAUGACGCUUGUCUGCCUGUCUGUCUGAUGUCCCAUUAAGGUUUGGGACAGGCCGGGGCUGAGAGGGGAGGAGAGGAGGGAAGGUGCUGUUCAAUCCCCUGGUAGACUGCUGCUCCAUCUGCUCUGCUCUGUUCUAUUCUACUCUGCUCUACCCUACUCUGCUCUGGGCUCCCCAUUAGAACAGCAGGCCUGUCUGCUCUGCUGCAUACUAAUUCUGCAUCCCCACCACAGCCACCAAUGUCAGCUAGUAGUGAGGCUCAUGAGAAGCAGGGUGCAUCAAGAGAAAGACAGGCAGCUCAGUGGGGAGGCUCUGCCGAGGGAGAUUGGCAUAUGCUGGAUGGUUGUGUGUGCUGCUGGGCUGUUGGCUCAGGGCCUGUGGUAUGAGCCUGGUGGUUGCAAGUGUGUGGACGGCCAGAUGAUGGUUGAGUGUGGUGAUGUGGUCAGACAGUUUAAUGACACUUCUUAACCAUGGACAUACCACACAGACAACACUGACAUAUUGUACACACACCAUAGGACACAUGAGUUUGAUACAUGGUGUGAUGUGAUGCCUCAGAAAGAGAUUGUUCUGUCAUAAUGAAAAAUGAGACUGGAAAAUAAUCACAGAUACUAUAUAAGUUGUCUCCUUUCAAAAUGUUGAUCAGUAAAUGUACUGAAUCCCGUAAGUAUCAACAUGUAAAUGUAAAAAUGUUCAUUGUAAACACUCUUACAAAGAAACCCUCUAUUGUGGCAGCAGAAAAGGGUGGUUCUCUGAUGACAUCGUCAUGGUAACUACCAGCAGGAGCAACAUAAAGACUGUUACUGGGCUGUGGGAGCUUUGUCUCUGGUCCUGGUGGGCCAAAAGGCCUGAGAGGAGGGGAGAGGGAGAGAGGAAAGAGAGGGAUAGAGGGAUGGAAACAGAGAGAGAGAGAGAGAGAGAGAGAGAUAGAGAGUGAGAGAGUUUGGUUUGACCUGACUGACAGAAACUUGGGGAAACCUGAAGUUGGUUCCAUCCAGUCCGUCCAGUCUGGCCCCCCAAAAAAGUAGGGGCUCAUUAAAAUGUCAUUGGAUCACGCUUCGCAUGAAUCGUGUGAUUUUCCCUCCACCAUAAGUGACCAUGACUGAGUGGUGAAUGGGGGACCGGGGAGAGCUGGACCAAUAGGGUGCCAUGCUGAGUCCCCAUGGGUACCAGCCCCUCACCGAGGGGGGCUCAUUUAACCAUUGUUCGUCUGUUAACACAGCUUUUUAAAACGCCUCUUUAUGGACUCAGCAAAGCACACUUCAUUCCACGUCCCCAAAGCCAGAAAGGAGUAAAAAAAGACUAGAAAGAAAAGAAAAAAGUGAAGUCGCAAGAAAAACAGCUUGAAAGAUAGAAAGUAUAAGAUGUAUAACUGUGAUUAUUCUCCUAACCACGAUCCAAAAAUAAUGACUCUCAGUGGGCUGCCUCAUAGUUCAACUUAAAAUGAUUUACAUUUCUCUCACAACUAGUAUUAUCUAUUAAACAUGUAAUACAUUCAAUAUUAUGUCCAAAAAAAUCUAUAUCUUUUAUUACAGUUUUUUAGAUCACAAUGAUCCUAUUUGAUGACCGUGGAUAGAUCCUACAUUAGACUAACUAGGUGAUUAAAAGCAGGUCAAUGACAAGCUCCAUCCUCUCUGGUCCUUUGUGAUACAGUCAGUACUGACUCAUGUCCUCCCAGGACUGUGGAGUUCCUACAGCAGAAACAAUAAGAACAUCAGCAUCAACCUGCAAUAUGUUCAUCCUCCAAUGGAAACAACAGGCCUGUCUCAUGUACGGAGUCUUCCACAGUCUCACACAACAGCCAGGAUGACAGUAAAAUACAUAGCAAUGAAGUCAAGUUCACAACAAUAGAGAUAGUGGGGAGUGUGUGUGAGUGUGUGUGUGUGUGUGUAUGUGUGUGUGUGUGUGUGUGUGUGUGUGUGUGUGUGUGUGUGUGUGUGUGUGUGUGUGUGUGUGUGUGUGUGUGUGUGUGUGUGUGUGUGUGUGUGUGUGUGUGUGUGUGUGUAUGUGUGUGAGUGUGUGUGUGUGUGU
ensembl:lncRNA